GACGAACGCUGGCGGCGUGCUUAACACAUGCAAGUCGAACGAAGUGGCGAACGGGUGAGUAACGCGUAAUCAACCUGCCCUUCAGAGGGGGACAACAGUUGGAAACGACUGCUAAUACCGCAUACUGAAGGAGGGGAUUGCGUCUGAUUAGCUAGUUGGAGGGGUAACGGCCCACCAAGGCGAUGAUCAGUAGCCUGUCUGAUAGUUUGACGGACCACGUGGGGACUGAGGAACGCCACAGACUCCUGCGGGAGGCAGAAGUGGAAACUCUGCCGCAAUGGACGAAGUUCUGACGGAGCAACGCCGCGUGAGUGAUAACGGCCUUCGGGUUGUAAAGCUCUGUUAAUCGGGACGCGGUACCGGAAUAGAAAGCCACGGCUAACUACGUGCCAGCAGCCGCGGUAAUAC
rnacentral:rRNA from 1 species